rnacentral:rRNA from 1 species
GACGAACGCUGGCGGCGUGCUUAACACAUGCAAGUCGAACGGAGUGCUCCUGAUUGAGGUUUCGGCCAAAUGAAGGAGUUGCUUAGUGGCGGACUGGUGAGUAACGCGUGAGGAACCUGCCUUUCAGAGGGGGACAACAGUUGGAAACGACUGCUAAUACCGCAUGAUGCAUUUGGGUCGCAUGGCCUGGUUGCCAAAGAUUUAUCGCUCUGAGAUGGCCUCGCGUCUGAUUAGCUAGUUGGCGGGGUAACGGCCCACCAAGGCGACGAUCAGUAGCCGGACUGAGAGGUUGGCCGGCCACAUUGGGACUGAGACACGGCCCAG